rnacentral:ncRNA from 1 species
GGCGACUGCAAAUCUGAAGGAAGCCGGAUGUGGGAACAGACUAACCACGGGCAAACCUCUGGUCUGACGAAUAGAAACCGCAUAUGAGGUUCUGUAUGAGGGUAAGACUGCUCUACAAGCCGAAGCCCGAUAACUACACGGAAUCAUACAGAAUAGAUGCGACAGAUGGAUGGAGGGAAAGAAAC